rnacentral:rRNA from 1 species
UACGGGGGGGGCAAGCGUUGUUCGGAAUUACUGGGCGUAAAGGGCGCGUAGGCGGCCAUCUAAGUCAGACGUGAAAUCCCUCGGCUUAACCGGGGAACUGCGUCUGAUACUGGAUGGCUUGAGUUCGGGAGAGGGAUGCGGAAUUCCAGGUGUAGCGGUGAAAUGCGUAGAUAUCUGGGAGACACCGGUGGCGAAGGCGGCGAUCCUGGACCGACACUGACGCUGAGGAGCGAAAGCCAGGGGAGCAAACGGGG